CAGUGUCUCCGGCGUGUCCUGCAUCUCGGCAGCCAGCUCCUCUGCAGCUCAGGCCCCGUGAGUCACAGCCGCUUCCUCAAAUGCUUUGGCUGACCGCAUCCCCCCGCUCCGCCAGAACCCUGGAUGCCGGAGCCCUCCCAGCGAGAGCCGUGUUUAUUUUACUUUACAUACAUUUUCCAACCCGGAGCGGCUUCAACACAUGCAGCUCUUAGGCCCGGGCCGCACAUCUCAGAAGCCCCGUGUGCGACUUUGACUGCCGCACGAUCCUCUGCCGGGGGAGGUGGGCCCGCUGCGCUUUGGGAGCACCCGCGCCCGACACUGAGGUCUCGGUGCUGUCUUCGGCCUCUUCGCCCCUGAGGGUCCCCUCUGGGAGCAGAGGCGGUCGGAAAACCCUGGGGCUGAAGUGCAGGCUUCGGGAGGACGCGACCUGCCAAGAUCAGCUCCCGGCACGUGAUGGGAGCCUGGCUCACCUUCCCCCAGCACACGAUGGGGCUGCAGCCUCCCCGGUCAGCCUGGCCUGCUGGAAAGGAGCAGCUCUGUCUCCAGAGGCUUCUGGCGAAGCCCAUGGCCUCCCAAUGUUGGCUGAUUUAUAAGGAAAGAGGGGAAAGGCCAAGUGUGGAUGCCAUUAGCAUAACCUAAUCCAGACCCCAUGACAAGUCCAGGAUCCUGCAGGGAGAGGGCAUCCUUGAACGUGAAGGACUGGGUUUGGAAACUUGGCCUCCCGGAAGAAAGGUCUCCGGGCCCACCCACACCCCCCUUGUGGACGCCCCCGCAGUCUAAUACACUCCACAGUAAGACGGACCAGGAACAGCAGCAGCCUCCGGUGUCGGCCCAGUGAUCCGGGAGCUCAGAGUGUAGGUACCUGACGGCUUGACUCGUCCCCAGGACAAGGCCUGUGAGUGGGAGAGGGGCACUCUGAGUGUGCGAAUCUGUGAGAGUGUGUGUGUGUCUGGGCACGAGUGUGUAUGCGUGUGUGUGCAUGUAUAUUCACAUGUGUGAGGGUGUGAAUGUGUGUGUCUGUGGGUCUGGGCACAUGAGUGUGUGUGUGCAUAUACUACAUUCACGUGUGAGUGUGCAAAUGCGAGUGUGUCUGUAGGUCUGGGCACGUGUAUGCGUGUGUGUGCGAGUACUAUAUUCGCAUGUGUGAGUGUGCGAAUGUGUGUGUCUGUGGGUCUGGGCACACGAGUGUGUAUGCGUGUGUGUGCAUGUACUAUAUUCACGUGUGUGAGUGUGCGAAUGUGUCUGUGGGUCUGGGCACAUGAGUGUGUGCAUAUACUAUAUUCACGUGUGUGAGUGUGCAAAUGUGUGUCUGUAGGUCUGGGCACAUGUGUAUGCGUGUGUGUGCGAGUACUAUAUUCACGUGUGUGUGAGUGCGAAUGUGAGUGGGUGUGGGUCUGGUCACAUGUAUGUAUGCAUGUGUGCAUGUAUUAUAGUCAUGUGAGUGUGCAAAUGUGUGUGUGGGUCUGGGCACACAAGUGUGUAUGCAUGUGUUUCUAUUGUAUUCAUGUGAGUAUAAGUGCAAAUGUGUGAGUGUGUGUUCUCUGCACACACAAGUGUAUAGGUAUGUGUUUGUGUGUGCAUGCACUGUAUUCAUGUGAGUGUAUGUGAAUGUGUGACUGUGAGAGUUUGAGUGUGCCUGGGUGUCUGGCUAUACUAGUGCAUGUCUGUGUUCGUGUGCAUCAGUCUGGGUGUGCCCGUGUGUGAAUGUGUCUAUGCGUGGGUGUCCCAAUAUGUGUGUGCCUGUGUAUCCAUGUCUGGGUGUGCCUGUGAGUGUGAGUGUGCGCAUGGGUGUCUGGAUAUGUGAGUGCUUGUGACUACCUGUGUGUGUAUCCAUGUCUAGGUGUGCCCGUGGGUGUGAGUGUGUCUGUGCGUGGGUGUCUGGAUACGUGUGUGCCUGUAUGAGUGUGUAUCCAUGUCUGGGUGUGCCCACGGGUGUGAGUGUGAAUAUGUAAGUCUUGCGUGUGCAUGAGUGUGUUCACAUGAGUGUGAGGGUCUGUGCAUAAGAGCCUAUUGUGAGUGCAUGUGGAUUGCAUUUAUGUGAGUCCGUGUCUGUGUGCACGCACGUGUCCCCGCACAAGCCAGCCCGAGAGGGAGUGUCCCCUGAACACACCCUGGCAGCACUUGCAGCGUGAUGAGGUUGAGGGAAUGUGUCGCUGAGGUCGUAAAUGCCUCUCGCACGUCCCAACACGCUGGAGCAACAGCAGCCCGUGAUGCCGGCCGCGCAGCCGUGAAGUCCGUGGAGCGUCCCUAAUCACUGGGGGUUCUGCUUUGCGGUGACAGCGGUGCUACUCACAGCUCCAGAACUCUGCAGCUUCCCCCCUGAAACGGGAACGGGAAGGUGGCGCGGGCGUCCACACCUCGAGCCACAGCCGGCGGGAGGCACAGGCUGGCAAAACUGCCUCUCAGUAGUGAGAAGAGACAAACAAACCGAACGCCAGGAGCAGAGGAAACGAAGACGAUGUGGCCAAGAAAAAUUGCAUUUUUCUUUCCAGUUUUGCUAAAAUAGCCUUCUCAUUGGCUGCGGCUUUGGAGGUGGCAGAAAUCAUACGUUUAAUCACGGCGCCCUCCUGCUUGCCAAGCUUUGCGUCCUCCAGAAUUGUCCUGUGAGUGACUCCCGCAGGAUGGAGACUUUUGUGUCUGGCUUCCUUCACUUCGCAGCAGGCUUCGCGGGACCCGUGUGGUGGCACCAGCGUCCAGCCCUUGAAACCCAUGAAAGAGGAUCCUGAAAGAGCAAGGGCAGCCUCCAGGUGAAGGUGGUGGGCGGCCUCCAGGUGAAGGCGGCCUCCAGGUGAAGGUGGUCAGCACCCUACCUUUGGCCAAGAGCAGACUGCAGUUUCAACUCAAAGAUUAUUCCUGAAUGAUGCAGCAAGCUUAAACUUCCUUAAAAACAAACCUCUGGGAAGAGGAAAAUGAGGCAAGAUGCUGAGAAAAAGUCAUCUCCCACUCUGCCCUUCUCUGGCAAAUCGAAGUGUCCUCUUGUGGGAGGCGGUGGGCAGCGACACUCCCGUUGGA
rnacentral:lncRNA from 1 species